rnacentral:lncRNA from 1 species
UGGGUUGUUGUUGUUGUAACCAAUUAUCUUUGUAGGCAUUUGGACAAUGGUUCGGCGGAUGUUGAAAAAACAAAGAGUUGUUAAGAAAUAGCUGAUGGAAGACUUGGAUUCUUGGAGAAACCAAGAAAGGGAGUGUAAAAGUGUAGUAUACAUUUUCUAAUGAGAAAGAUAAAUAAUAAAAAAAAGAGUUGGACUCUAGGAGAAACCAAGAAAAUGAGUUUAAAAGUGUAUUGCAUGUUUCUUUUACUAACGAGGAAGGUAAAAUAGAAAAGAAUAAUGUAGAUACACCAACGAUGACAUGUUGUAUGUCAGAAUGUAAAUAACCCAAAGAGUUGCUUACUUUCACAUGUAAAAUAGAGUAGUGAUUCUUAUUCCCCAAUACUUACCCUAACGGUCAUAUCAAUCACGACAGCAAAGCUU